rnacentral:rRNA from 1 species
AUUGAACGCUGGCGGCAGGCCUAACACAUGCAAGUCGAAUGGUAACAGGAAACAGCUUGCUGUUUCGCUGACGAGUGGCGGACGGGUGAGUAAUGUCUGGGAAACUGCCUGAUGGAGGGGGAUAACUACUGGAAACGGUAGCUAAUACCGCAUAACGUCGCAAGCCCAAAGAGGGGGACCUUCGGGCCUCUUGCCAUCAGAUGUGCCCCGAUGGGAUUAGCUAGUAGGUGGGGUAACGGCUCACCUAGGAGACGAUCCCUAGCUGGUCUGAGAGGAUGACCAGCCACCCUGGAACUGAGACACGGUCCAGACUCCUACGGGAGGCAGCAGUGGGGAAUAUUGCACAAUGGGCGCAAGCCUGAUGCAGCCAUGCCGCGUGUAUGAAGAAGGCCUUCGGGUUGUAAAGUACUUUCAGCGGGGAGGAAGGGAGUAAAGUUAAUACCUUUGCUCAUUGACGUUACCCGCAGAAGAAGCACCGGCUAACUCCGUG